GGCGAACGCUGGCGGCGUGCUUAACACAUGCAAGUCGAACGGAAAGGCCCUGCUUUUGUGGGGUGCUCGAGUGGCGAACGGGUGAGUAACACGUGAGUAACCUGCCCUUGACUUUGGGAUAACUUCAGGAAACUGGGGCUAAUACCGGAUAGGAGCUCCUGCUGCAUGGUGGGGGUUGGAAAGUUUCGGCGGUUGGGGAUGGACUCGCGGCUUAUCAGCUUGUUGGUGGGGCAGUGGCUUACCAAGGCUUUGACGGGUAGCCGGCCUGAGAGGGUGACCGGCCACAUUGGGACUGAGAUACGGCCCAGACUCCUACGGGAGGCAGCAGUGGGGAAUAUUGCACAAUGGGCGGAAGCCUGAUGCAGCAACGCCGCGUGCGGGAUGACGGCCUUCGGGUUGUAAACCGCUUUCGCCUGUGACGAAGCGUGAGUGACGGUAAUGGGUAAAGAAGCACCGGCUAACUACGUG
rnacentral:rRNA from 1 species